rnacentral:rRNA from 1 species
ACGACGCUGGCGGCGUGCCUAAUACAUGCAAGUCGAACGGUCUUUUCUAUGGAAGCUUGCUUCCACUGAGAAGAUAGUGGCGAACGGGUGAGUAACACGUGGGUAACCUGCCCAUAAGAGGGGGAUAACAUCCGGAAACGGGUGCUAAUACCGCAUAGUUUUCUUGAUUGCAUGAUUGAGAAAGGAAAGACGGCCUUUGUGCUGUCGCUUAUGGAUGGACCCGCGGCGUAUUAGUUAGUUGGUGAGGUAACGGCUCACCAAGACGAUGAUACGUAGCCGACCUGAGAGGGUGAUCGGCCACAUUGGGACUGAGACACGGCCCAAACUCCUACGGGAGGCAGCAGUAGGGAAUCUUCCGCAAUGGACGAAAGUCUGACGGAGCAACGCCGCGUGAGUGAAGAAGGUUUUUCCGGAUCGUAAAACUCUGUUGUCAGAGAAGAACAAGUUGGAGAGUAACUGCUCCAGCCUUGACGGUAUCUGACCAGAAAGCCACGGCUAACUACGUGCCAGCAGCAGC